UGCAAGCGUUAAUCAGAAUUACUGGGCGUAAAGAGCUCGUAGGCGGUUAUUUAAGUCAGAUGUGAAAUCCCUGGGCUCAACCUAGGAACCGCAUUUGAAACUGAAUAACUAGAGUUUCGUAGAGGGAGGUAGAAUUCUAGGUGUAGCGGUGAAAUGCGUAGAUAUCUGGAGGAAUACCUGUGGCGAAAGCGACCUCCUGGACGAAAACUGACGCUGAGGUGCGAAAGCAUGGGGAGCAAACAGGAUUAGAUACCCUGGUAGUCCAUGCCGUAAACGAUGUCGACUUAGAGGUUGUUUCCUAAGAGAAAUGACUUCUGUAGCUAACGCGUUAAGUCGACCGCCUGGGGAGUACGGUCGCAAGGCUAAAACUCAAAUGAAUUGACGGGGGCCCGCACAAGCGGUGGAGCAUGUGGUUUAAUUCGAUGCAACGCGAAAAACCUUACCUGGUCUUGACAUCCAUAGAAUUUUGUAGAAAUAUAGAAGUGCCUUCGGGAACUAUGAGACAGGUGCUGCAUGGCUGUCGUCAGCUCGUGUUGUGAAAUGUUGGGUUAAGUCCCGCAACGAGCGCAACCCUUAUCUUUUGUUACCAGCGGUUCGGCCGGGGACUCAAGGGAGACUGCCGGUUAUAAACCGGAGGAAGGUGGGGACGACGUCAAGUCAUCAUGGCCCUUACGACCAGGGCUACACACGUGCUACAAUGGUAUAUACAAAGAGAAGCAACUCUGCGAAGAUAAGCAAACCUCAUAAAGUGUAUCGUAGUCCGGACUGGAGUCUGCAACUCGACUCCACGAAGUCGGAAUCGCUAGUAAUCGUGUAUCAGAAUGUCACGGUGAAUACGUUCCCGGGCCUUGUACACACCGCCCGUCACACCAUGGGAGUGAGUUGCAAAAGAAG
rnacentral:rRNA from 2 species